CACAUCUGUGGCCAGCUGCACUCAUUACGGAGCCCUGCUUUUCAACAGCGACGUGCUAAAAGUUACCACCUCGUGCACAGAGGCUUUUGGUUAUUUUUAGCUUCCGAAGAGCAGUUGUUUCUCAUGGGUAUUUUGAGUAGUACCUCCCUGCAACUUCAGGGAAGACUCUUCUUAACUUGAGCUGUAAUAAAUACCCCUAGGAGCCUGUCAAGUCCUGCAGGACCCAUGAAGGCAGCUAUGAAACAGACUGUCCCUUUCAAUCUAUAUUUAGAGUUCAUCUUGGCUAAGUAUACUGACUUCACAAUAUUGAUCUGUUUAAAAAGAAAUCAGUGUAUACACAGCUCUUUUUUAUUAUUUUGGAAUCAUUAUGAUACUAUUCCAUCAUGGAGACUGAGGUUUGUUACUGAUGAUCAGUAUUUCACUAACCUUUUGGUUUAUGAUGCGUUUUAAAAACUCCUUUGCUAUGCAGAAGAGUUUUAUCUACAACACUGUAGCUAUGAGUAACCAGUUUGCUAUGCAGAAGAGUCAUAUCUACAGUAUUGCAGUCAUGGGUACUUUAAAGGCAUAGACUAGAAAAAACAGGGUAUUCUCCUCCUUCUCACACACACCUUACAAAUUCAAGUGGCACAGUAUUAUGGGAUGGACUAAUUUGUACGGCAUCCUUAGUUGUUUAAAAAAUAAAUUCUGACAACCUGUUUGUGAGUACUGGCAAUUGCUCCUUCGCAGACAGUUCUUUUGAUCACUUUUUUCUUGCUGAUGUUACAGAACACAAUGUUAGAGCACACUGGAACGACAAGCAGCUGACGCUUACAUAAAGGGAGCGCAGCUCAAAACAACAAAUCCUUUCUGAAGCCAUUCUAUACAUCUAAAAUUUUGAACCCCUUUAAACUGACAACAAAUACAUUUUUCUUUCAGGUAACAACAGAAAAGUUACAUCUUCUGACUGGUCGUUCCAACCCCAAGCUAACAAGCUCUGCUGCUGUCCAGUCUGAGUAGGCGGGCAGAUGCAGACGUAACAAGCUUGCUCCUUUUCCGCAGGGGUCCCCUAGGAGUCCUCCCUCCAAACGAGGAUGUGCAAGCCAGAAAAAAAAAAUCUCACCUCCAUCCCCGAUAGAUUCCUGACAUCAUCCUAAUUGUAAGACAAGGAGCCAGGCCCCUCCGGCUGAGCUUGAAAAGGUCUGCAAACUCACCGGAUCUCUGCAGGGCAGCAAACAGCCCAUCUUCUCUUAAACACCCCAAGAAGUUGUCCUGGUUGUUGGGGCUGGCAACUGCAGUGGAAUGGGGGAAAGGGCAACCACGUGCUCGGCCCCCUGCCAGGAGAUGCUGUAGAAAGCAAUUUUUCAGGAGAGGAAGCUUUCAGAAGCCCUACUUUACAUAGCAAAGCAUGCCAAAGGUGACCACCCAGCAGCCACAGGAGACCAGCAGGCUUGUGGGAACAGUCUAGCUCAAAGGGGGACAGUCUUGGGCUGGGCAAACACAGGUAGACGGCUUCAUCUAGCUCAAGGAUCAGAAGUUUCUUCUCCACGUGUGACACACACUGACAACACAUGUCAAUAAUAUCAUCAAUUUCAGUUGAAGGCCUUGUUAUGGUGCUGGAACAGGAAGAGUGGAGGCAUGCGGCUUUGCAGGAGCCGGUGACUACACCACUCUGCUGAAAGAGGGCAUAAGGAUUCAGGGAAAACCCUGAAGCUAAGAAGAUACUCA